CCAAAUCCAAGAACCUCAAGCAUGCCACCCAAAUCCACUCCCAACUCGUCACCCAAAGUUACUUGCCUAUCCCUUUCCUCUACAACAAUCUCCUUAACCUGUAUUGUAAAUGUGGCCGCAUUUCUCUAGCCCUCACACUCUUUUCUAUAAAUUCAAGAACCCAUUUUCAUGUGUACGAGAGCAUCAUAACUUACACCACCCUCAUCACUCAUCUGUCGCAUAGCAAAUUUU
rnacentral:lncRNA from 1 species